rnacentral:tRNA from 1 species
UGGGGAGUCGUCUAACGGUAGGACGCCUGAUUCUGGAUCAGGUAGUUGGGGUUCGAAUCCCUGCUCCCCAGCCA